AAAUUGAAGAGUUUGAUCAUGGCUCAGAUUGAACGCUGGCGGCAGGCCUAACACAUGCAAGUCGAACGGUAACAGGAAGCAGCUUGCUGCUUCGCUGACGAGUGGCGGACGGGUGAGUAAUGUCUGGGAAACUGCCUGAUGGAGGGGGAUAACUACUGGAAACGGUGGCUAAUACCGCAUAACGUCGCAAGACCAAAGAGGGGGACCUUCGGGCCUCUUGCCAUCAGAUGUGCCCAGAUGGGAUUAGCUAGUUGGUGAGGUAACGGCUCACCAAGGCGACGAUCCCUAGCUGGUCUGAGAGGAUGACCAGCCACACUGGAACUGAGACACGGUCCAGACUCCUACGGGAGGCAGCAGUGGGGAAUAUUGCACAAUGGGCGCAAGCCUGAUGCAGCCAUGCCGCGUGUAUGAAGAAGGCCUUCGGGUUGUAAAGUACUUUCAGCGGGGAGGAAGGUGUUGUGGUUAAUAACCGCAGCAAUUGACGUUACCCGCAGAAGAAGCACCGGCUAACUCCGUGCCAGCAGCCGCGGUAAUACGGAGGGUGCAAGCGUUAAUCGGAAUUACUGGGCGUAAAGCGCACGCAGGCGGUCUGUCAAGUCGGAUGUGAAAUCCCCGGGCUCAACCUGGGAACUGCAUUCGAAACUGGCAGGCUUGAGUCUUGUAGAGGGGGGUAGAAUUCCAGGUGUAGCGGUGAAAUGCGUAGAGAUCUGGAGGAAUACCGGUGGCGAAGGCGGCCCCCUGGACAAAGACUGACGCUCAGGUGCGAAAGCGUGGGGAGCAAACAGGAUUAGAUACCCUGGUAGUCCACGCCGUAAACGAUGUCUACUUGGAGGUUGUGCCCUUGAGGCGUGGCUUCCGGAGCUAACGCGUUAAGUAGACCGCCUGGGGAGUACGGCCGCAAGGUUAAAACUCAAAUGAAUUGACGGGGGCCCGCACAAGCGGUGGAGCAUGUGGUUUAAUUCGAUGCAACGCGAAGAACCUUACCUGGUCUUGACAUCCACGGAAGUUUUCAGAGAUGAGAAUGUGCCUUCGGGAACUGUGAGACAGGUGCUGCAUGGCUGUCGUCAGCUCGUGUUGUGAAAUGUUGGGUUAAGUCCCGCAACGAGCGCAACCCUUAUCCUUUGUUGCCAGCGAUUAGGUCGGGAACUCAAAGGAGACUGCCAGUGAUAAACUGGAGGAAGGUGGGGAUGACGUCAAGUCAUCAUGGCCCUUACGACCAGGGCUACACACGUGCUACAAUGGCGCAUACAAAGAGAAGCGACCUCGCGAGAGCAAGCGGACCUCAUAAAGUGCGUCGUAGUCCGGAUUGGAGUCUGCAACUCGACUCCAUGAAGUCGGAAUCGCUAGUAAUCGUGGAUCAGAAUGCCACGGUGAAUACGUUCCCGGGCCUUGUACACACCGCCCGUCACACCAUGGGAGUGGGUUGCAAAAGAAGUAGGUAGCUUAACCUUCGGGAGGGCGCUUACCACUUUGUGAUUCAUGACUGGGGUGAAGUCGUAACAAGGUAACCGUAGGGGAACCUGCGGUUGGAUCACCUCCUUACCUUAAAGAAGC
rnacentral:rRNA from 1 species